rnacentral:rRNA from 1 species
CCUGCCCUGUGACUAUAAUGUUUAACGGCCGCGGUAUCCUAACCGUGCGAAGGUAGCGCAAUCACUUGUCUUUUAAAUAGGGACCUGUAUGAAUGGCAUAACGAGGGCUUGACUGUCUCCUUUUUCAAGUCAAUGAAAUUGAUCUCCCCGUGCAGAAGCGGGGAUAGACACAUAAGACGAGAAGACCCUGUGGAGCUUUAGACCUAAGACAGAUCAUGUUAAACACCCCUAAACACAGGAUUAAACUAAAUGAAGCCUGUCCCACGUCUUUGGUUGGGGCGACCAUGGGGUAAAACAAACCCCCCACGCGGAAAGGGAGCACUAACUCCUCCUAAAACCCAGAGCCUCCACUCUAACAAACAGAACUUCUGACCUUAAGAUCCGGCAAAGCCGAUCAACGGAUCAAGUUACCCCAGGGAUAACAGCGCAAUCCUCUUUUAGAGUCCAUAUCGACAAGAGGGUUUACGACCUCGAUGUUGGAUCAGGACAUCCUAUUGGUGCAGCCGCUAUUAAGGGUUCGUUUGUUCAACGAUUAAAGUCCUACGUGAUCU